AGUGAACGCUGGCGGUAGGCCUAACACAUGCAAGUCGAACGGCAGCACAGUAAGAGCUUGCUCUUACGGGUGGCGAGUGGCGGACGGGUGAGGAAUACAUCGGAAUCUACUUUUUCGUGGGGGAUAACGUAGGGAAACUUACGCUAAUACCGCAUACGACCUACGGGUGAAAGCAGGGGAUCUUCGGACCUUUCGCGAUUGAAUGAGCCGAUGUCGGAUUAGCUAGUUGGCGGGGUAAAGGCCCACCAAGGCGACGAUCCGUAGCUGGUCUGAGAGGAUGAUCAGCCACACUGGAACUGAGACACGGUCCAGACUCCUACGGGAGGCAGCAGUGGGGAAUAUUGGACAAUGGGCGCAAGCCUGAUCCAGCCAUACCGCGUGGGUGAAGAAGGCCUUCGGGUUGUAAAGCCCUUUUGUUGGGAAAGAAAAGCAGCAGGUUAAUACCCCGCUGUUCUGACGGUACUCAAAGAAUAAGCACCGGCUAACUUCGUG
rnacentral:rRNA from 1 species